UCCGGGGGGGGCAAGCGUUGUUCGGAAUUACUGGGCGUAAAGGGCUCGUAGGUGGCCAACUAAGUCGGACGUGAAAUCCCUCAGCUUAACUGGGGAACUGCGUCCGAUACUGGAUGGCUUGAGUUUGGGAGAGGGAUGCGGAAUUCCAGGUGUAGCGGUGAAAUGCGUAGAUAUCUGGAGGAACACCGGUGGCGAAGGCGGCAUCCUGGACCAACACUGACACUGAGGAGCGAAAGCCAGGGGAGCAAACGGG
rnacentral:rRNA from 1 species